AUGUGGAUUUGGAGUUAUUGGGAGCACGCCGGCGUUGAAAUGGAGCAACGCCAGGCCACCGGAAGCAUAGCCGGGGCUGCAAUGGAGCUUCGCCGGAGUUGCAAUGGAGUUUCGCCGGGCGCCGUUGGUGCUGCGUUGGAGCUCCAUCGGAGCUGCAAUGGAGCUUCGCCGGAGGUCGUCGGUGCUGCGUUGGAGCUCCACCGGAGCUGCAAUGGAGCUUUGUCGGACGCCAUUGGUGCUCGAGUCGAGCUAUGGUCGCGCUCGUACUAUGCUGCAGUGGAGCUUUGUCGAGGGAAGCAGCGCUGCAUUGAAGUUGGUAACGCCGCUGCCGUGGCGUGCUGCAUCGGAGGACCACCAGCGCGCUGA
rnacentral:rRNA from 1 species